GGUGCUGUGGUGUAGUUGGUUUAAAGUGCCUGUCUAGCAAACAGGAGAUCCUGUGUACAAAUCCCAGCGGUGCCU